rnacentral:lncRNA from 10 species
UGAGAUUUUGUUUUCUGAAUUCAACAUCAACUAUAAUAAUGAGCUGCCGAUGUAUAGGAAAGGGACUGUGUUGAUAUGGCAGAAGUACCAAGGAGUACCUUGAGAGCUAGUCAUUCCACUGGCAACUCCAGCUCUUUGAGUUGUUCAAAACAUUUAUUCUUUGGUACAGACUUGGAUACUUCUUAAUGCAGGUGGAAGGUGGAUGAAGUGAUGACAAAAGAAAUUAAGCUGCCAACAGAAAUGGAAGGAAAAAAGAUGGCAGUGACCCGGACCAGGACAAAGCCAGUGCCCUUGCACUGCGAUAUCAUCGGGGAUGCUUUCUGGAAGGAACAUCCAGAGAUUCUAGAUGAAGACAGCUGACCCUUUUGCGCUUCAGUUCUGGUGUGCUUAACCAUGCAAGCCCUCCCACCUCCCAGGGCUCCUUGCCUUAGGUGGCUGUAGCAUCCCUACCACCCAGGACACUGGUGCGAAUGACACAACUCAAGUUGGGAGGGGAACAGGGAAGGAAGGGAUGGAUGGGGGUGGUGUAUCUUACUCUGUUUAAGCAGAACACCUUGUUUGCGGUGUUGGAACAUG